ACUCAAAUGAAUUGACGGGGGCCCGCACAAGCGGUGGAGCAUGUGGUUUAAUUCGACGCAACGCGAAGAACCUUACCUGGGCUCGAAAUGCAGCUGACCGUGGUGGAAACAUCGCUUACCCGCAAGGGACGGCUGUAUAGGUGCUGCAUGGCUGUCGUCAGCUCGUGUCGUGAGAUGUUGGGUUAAGUCCCGCAACGAGCGCAACCCUUAUCCCCAGUUGCCAUCAUUCAGUUGGGCACUCUGGUGAAACCGCCUCGGAUAACGGGGAGGAAGGUGGGGAUGACGUCAAGUCCUCAUGGCCUUUAUGUCCAGGGCUACACACGUGCUACAAUGGCCGGUACAAACCGUUGCAAACCCGUGAGGGGGAGCUAAUCGGAGAAAGCCGGCCUCAGUUCGGAUUACAGUCUGCAACUCGACUGUAUGAAGCUGGAAUCGCUAGUAAUCGCGGAUCAGAACGCCGCGGUGAAUACGUUCCCGGGCCUUGUACACACCGCCCGU
rnacentral:rRNA from 1 species